ACGUGCACAAAUGCCUGGGCCCUGAUGAGAUGCCCCCACGAGUACUGAGCUGGCAGUGGUGGACAUUAUGGCCAGGCUGGUCUGUACCAUCUCUGAAAGAUGGUGGAGAACUGGAGAGGUGCCUGCAGCCUGGAAGAAAGCCAACGUCACUGCAGUCUUCCCAAAGGGCAAGGAGGAGGACCGAGGCAAGUACCGGCCAGUUGGCCUCACCUCCAUCCUUGGAAAGGUGAUGGAACAGCUCGUUCUGGACGUGAUCUCCAAGCAUAUGGAGGAGAAGAAUGUGAUCAGGGAUGGUCAGCAUGGGUUCCCCAAGGGGAAAUCCUGCUUAACCAAUCUGACAGCCUUCCAUGAUGGAGUGACUGGCUGGGUAGAUGGGAGGAGAUCACGGCUGUGUCCCUUGACUUCAGCACGGCUUUCGACACUGUCUCCCAUAACUUCCUGCUAGGAAUGUGAAAGCGCAAGUGCGGAGCGAAUACCUGAUGUAAUGAAGUUGUAACCAGUAGAAAAAUUUGGAUAAGGUCCUCGCUGAAAAGUGCAUCUGGUAUCAGCAGCGAGGUUUGGGACAACAGUUUGGCACCGCAGAUGGGACUUGCCAUAAGGCCUUGCCCAAAUCACAUGUCCGUUCCUGACAGUGGAUCGAGCUGCAGCACGCACCACCCUGUUAAGCGGGGAGUCCUGCGACCUCCCUCCGAAGCGGGGACAACAGGAGACUGCAAGGUGCAACGGCGACCAGUGCUAUUUGCACCAGGGCGAAAGCAGGGUGAGGCUUUGGAUCGCAGUCUGUUGGAUCAUCUGGGAAAAAUGCUGAGAAGCUGCACCAGCUUUUGGAGACUCUCAGGAUAAGUGAUAACCCUAAGGAGGGAGAGGGGCAGGCGCUGUUGACUGCUUUCCUGCUGGGAGAAGGAAGGAGCCGCCUUCUCGAGAAGAACAACCAGCGCAGGACCUAAGGGCUGUGAACCAGAGCCAGCCGAUCUUUGCCUUUGCAAGGGAGAGCCCCGCUACGAGGAGGACGGAGCAGUUACGCUGGACGGUCCUUGGUCAAGGAUUGCAGGAGAGCCCUGCCCUGUUUGGUGAGAGCUUGGCCCAGGAAGCGGCCCAGUGGCAGGAAGGUGAUCAAAAUGCCGCUCUUUGCCGGUGUGUGGAUGAGCUCUUGAUUGGAGGUGACUUGGAGCAAAUAUGUCUGGAGGCGACGGUACUUUUUGUGGCUGGCCAGAAGCUUUCCCAUGCUCCACUGAUGAUGCCAAAGAAGUAAUUAAGAUUCUACUAAAAGGAAUGAUUCCUCAGUUGCUUCAGGAAUAUGUUUCCUGUGAGGGUGACAGAGCACUGGCACAGGUUACCCAGAGAGCUUGUGGAGUCUCCUUCUCUGGAGCUAUUCAAGGGCCAGCUGGAUGCAACCCUGUCUAACACGCUGUAGGUGACCGUGC